GCCGCUGUGGUGUAGCCUGGCAGCAUAGGAGGCUGUGGACCUCUCGGCCGUGGGUUCGAAAAUCCGUGUUUUACGGGUCGAAAGUCCCACCGGCGGCC
rnacentral:tRNA from 1 species